UGGGGAAUAUUGGUCAAUGGCCGUAAGGCUGAACCAGCCAAGUCGCGUGAGGGAAGACGGCCCUACGGGUUGUAAACCUCUUUUGCCGGGGAGCAAAAGACGCCACGCGUGGCGUUUCGAGAGUACCCGGAGAAAAAGCAUCGGCUAACUCCGUGCCAGCAGCCGCGGUAAUACGGAGGAUGCGAGCGUUAUCCGGAUUUAUUGGGUUUAAAGGGUGCGUAGGCGGCGUCCUAAGUCAGCGGUAAAAGCCCGGGGCUCAACCCCGCCCAGCCGUUGAAACUGGGAGUCUCGAGUGGGCGAGAAGUAUGCGGAAUGCGUGGUGUAGCGGUGAAAUGCAUAGAUAUCACGCAGAACCCCGAUUGCGAAGGCAGCAUACCGGCGCCCGACUGACGCUCAUGCACGAAAGCGUGGGUAUCGAACAGG
rnacentral:rRNA from 1 species